UUCCCUCGAUCCCACCACCUCUUCCUGCUGCUCCAUCAGAUGUUCCCUCACUGUGAUGUCCAUCAACACAGCCCAAAACCCCCAAACACCCCAAGGAUGAAGCCCAAAACCCCCAAACACCCCGAGGAUGAAGCCCAAAACCCCCAAACACCCCGAGGAUGAAGCCCAAAACCCCCAAACACCCCGAGGAUGAAGCCCAAAACCCUCAAACACCCCAAGGAUGAAGGCCAAAAUAUUUUUGGGAGGAUGAAGGACAGCUGGCCAGGGUGACAACUGAGUUGAGGACAUCACGAGACCUUGGGAGCAGCUUUCACAGCGUGGCCAGAACUUCGGGAAUUCAAUUUGUCAGGAGGGGACAAGUUCGGUCACGGUGCGAAACCAACCACAAAACCCUUUUAUUCCCUUUCCAGCCUCAGCAUAAUCCCUGACUUGCAAUUUUUCCAGGAAUUUGGCCGGCUGUCAUGCCGGCUGUCUCAGCAGGAUCGGCGGCUCCGCCGUGCCCGGGGCUCCGGGUGCUGCUCACAUGUUCUUUUUUCCACGGCUGUGAGAGCUUCCUCACGUCCAACCCGUGGUUUUUUUGGGAGCAGAAGGACCCAAACCCAGUCAGGUUUUCUCUUCUGAGCUCCUUUGGGACGUGCAUGGAGCAGGAUGGAGGCUGGGAAAGGGACCCUCCACACCACACCCAUGGCCUGCAACAACAUCUGCCGUCCCUGCGGACCCACCCCGCUGGCCAACAGCUGCAACGAGCCCUGUGCCCUGCAAUGCCAGGAUUCCCGUGUUGUUAUCCAGCCUUCCCCUGUGCUGGUCACCCUGCCAGGACCCAUCAUGACCUCCUUCCCCCAGAACACCGCUGUUGGAUCCACCUCCUCGGCUGCCGUGGGCACUGAACUCAGUGUGCAGGGACAGCCCAUCUCUGGUGGAUUUGGUGGAUUUGGUGGCUUUGGCUACGGCCUUGGCUAUGGCCGUGGAUUUGGCUACGGGCUGGGCUGUGGCUAUGGGCUGGGAGGCCUGGGCUGCUAUGGCAGAAGGGGUGGCUACAUCUGCUAAGGGCCCUUGGCAGCAACCCUGACACCAACCCUCAGCUCCCUGGAACACAUCUCAGGCAUUGAGGACUCCUCUCUGGUCCAAGGCUCUCAGAUGGACUCAGCGCUUCCAGCUCCUGCUCUCAGGGCACCAAGCAAGGCAGCAGACAGGGGUCAAGCCCAGGCUGCCCUGCAAUCAUGGCCCAUCUGCCUCCUGCUCUUCUCCCACUCCGUGUUCUGCAUGGAUUCUUUGGUUCUGUCCAGCUCCCUCUGGACAAACACGUUCUCCCAAGCCGGAGAUCUUCGGGCAGCUCUGCUGGGCUGCUCCCAUUGCAGGGCAGGAAGUUCUUGAUGCUCUGGCCAAAGCUUCUCAAUGGUUGGACUUUGGCUGAUGGUCACCCUGAUCACAACCCGGACCAACUCCCUUCUGCUGCUCCUGAGUUUUCACUCUUCUACCUCAAUAAAGUUUUCUUGCAUCACA
rnacentral:lncRNA from 1 species